rnacentral:ncRNA from 1 species
UGACCCGGUGACGCCCGACGCCAAAGACCAAGAACCGGGGGAAAGAACCGGACCCUCCCCUGCCGUCCCCGUCGAUCACUCGCCGGAGUGAAUAUGCCCAACUGAACUGGCGUCCGGCACCACUUGUGGUGCAGCGUCAGUCGCGACAACCCCAGACACGCCUCACAUGCAUCGGCCCUCGCCGGGACUGCCAUCCCAGUGCGAGGGCCUGAUCACCAAGGAAGAAAGCCGCUUCCCG